AGUGAACGCUGGCGGUAGGCCUAACACAUGCAAGUCGAACGGCAGCACAGUAAGAGCUUGCUCUUACGGGUGGCGAGUGUCGGACGGGUGAGGAAUACAUCGGAAUCUACUUUUUCGUGGGGGAUAACGUAGGGAAACUUACGCUAAUACCGCAUACGACCUACGGUUGAAAGCAGUGGAUCUUCGGACCUUUCGCGAUUGAAUGAGCCGAUGUCGGAUUAGCUAGUUGGCGGGGUAAAGGCCCACCAAGGCGACGAUCCGUAGCUGGUCUGAGAGGAUGAUCAGCCACACUGGAACUGAGACACGGUCCAGACUACUACGGGAGGCAGCAGUGGGGAAUAUUGGACAAUGGGCGCAAGCCUGAUCCAGCAAGACCGCGUGGGUGAAGAAGGACUUCGGGUUGUAAAGCCAUUUUGUUGGGAAAGAAAAGCAGCAGGUUAAUACCCCGAUGUUCUGACGGUACCGAAAGAAUAAGCACCGGCUAACUUCGUG
rnacentral:rRNA from 1 species